rnacentral:lncRNA from 1 species
AGUGGGGCCAGGGCUGGACAUGGCCCCCGGUCCCUGGCCUGUGUCCUGCCUGCGUGGUGGCCCCUUGGGCCUCACAUAUUUGUCCCUUCUGCUCAUCCCUGCUGCAGGUGCCUCCUCCUGCCCCCGCACUCCACUCCCAGCCAUGGCUCCCCUUCCCCAGGCAAGCUGGAACCUACUGUGAAUGCAGCCUUGGCCUCAGCCGCGAGGCCCUCAUCGCCCUCCUUGUGGUGCUGGCGGGCAUCAGUGCCAGCUGCUUCUGUGCCCUCGUCAUCGUGGCAAUUGGUGUCUUGCGGGCCAAGGGUGAAACAUGCCCGAGACAAGUGGACAACAGGUUGGUGGAGAAUUUUGGGGUCCAGGAAGAUCUCAUGGACCUGCACCCGGUUUACGUGGAGUCCCAGCUAAUGGACGCUGACCUGGAGGUCUCCCUGGUGCCACCACUAGAGGAUCAGAGCCUUGUGGCCAUCCCCAUGGAGGCUUCUUCAGAGGAGCCGCCACCACCCCCGCCCCUACCACCUGAGUAGAGGGCUGAGGGCAGCUGGGGGAGGGGAAUUAAAGCGUAUUUAGUG